rnacentral:rRNA from 1 species
UGAAAGUAUGGCGGCCGGCCUACCAUGCAAGUCCAACGGUAACAUUUCUAGCUUGCUAUAUGAUGACCAGUGGCGGACGGGUGAGUAAUGCUUGGGAACUUGCCUUUGCGAGGGGGAUAACAGUUGGAAACGACUGCUAAUACCGCAUAAUGUCUUCGGACCAAACGGGGCUUCGGCUCCGGCGCAAAGAGAGGCCCAAGUGAGAUUAGCUAGUUGGUAAGGUAACGGCUUACCAAGGCGACGAUCUCUAGCUGUUCUGAGAGGAAGAUCAGCCACCCUGGGACUGAGACACGGCCCACACUCCUCCGGGAGGCAGCAGUGGGGAAUAUUGCACCACGGGGGAAACCCUGAUGCAGCCUUGCCGCGUGUGUGAAGAAGGCCUUCUGGUUGUAAAGCACUUUCUGUUGUGAGGAAAAGUUAGUAGUUAAUACCUGCUAGCCGUGACGUUAACAACAGAAGAAGCACCGGCUAACUCUGCGCCAGCAGCCGCGGUAAUACGGAGGGUGCGAGCGUUAAUCGGAAUUACUGGGCGUAAAGCGCACGCAGGCGGUUUGUUAAGCUACAUGUGAAAGCCCCGCGCUCAACCUGGUAUGGUCAUUUACAACUGGCAGACUAUACUCUUGGAGAGGGGAGUGGAAUUCCAUGCGUAGCGGUGAAAUGCGUACAUAUCUGGAUGAACAUCAGUGGCGAAGGCGACUCCCUGGCCAAAGACUGACGCUCAUGUGUUACAGUGUGGGUAGCGAACAGGAUUACAUACCCUGGUCGUCCACACCGUAAACGCUGUCUACUAUCUGUGUGUGCCUUUACGGCGUGCGUAGCGAAGCUAACGCGCUCAGUAGACCGCCUGCGGAGUACGGCGCAAGGUUACACUUAAUGAAUCGACUGUGGCCCGCCCAGCGCAGGAGCAUGCGAUUUAAUUCGAUGCUCCUGAAGAACCUUACCACCCCUCCACCCGCUGAAAAGUUACUAGAGAUACGUUCGUGCCUCGGGUACUUACAUCAUGUGCUGCAUGGCUGUCGUCAGCUCUGUCGUGACAUGUCGGGUAAGUCCGGAACGACCCCAC